CUGACCAAGGUCCCUCCAUGGGUCCCCAAAGGCCAGCACAGGGGUCUCAAACUCUUGCUGCUGGUGGGGGUGGGGCGGAUAGAGUGAACAAGUGAAGACCCUCCCAGCCAAAGGUGCCUGCAGGUGGCCCAGCAUGGCCUGAUCCUCCCCCCACUCCUGUUGCAGAGAAGCUUAGGAUCCAGGUAGGGACGGGGUCACUGCCGAUUUCUAACUGCUAUCGUCUAAUUGAAAAUGCAUGUGAAGAGCACUCGGUGGCCAGUGGAGACACGCACAGGAGGAAUUUGGCUCUGAAGCCCUGGACUCUGAGAGAGAGUGCUGGCCCCUUACCUAGGCGUUCGCAGUCCUCUGCCGCCAGCCUUGGUCCUCCCUUGCACGUCCGUCUCCUGACCUCGGCCUGGCCUGCUGGGCGCAGGCUGGCUUCUUGGCAGGCCAGGUCUCCCUCAUCUUUCCUGGUCCAUGUCCCUCCAGCCCACCAGAGUGGGGUCCCAAGCCGUGUCUCCCAGGCCCUCUUCCCAAGCGUCCCCACCUUCCGAGGUCACCUGUUCUCUCUCUGGGUCUCUCGAUCGUUGGUGUUGCUCUCUCUGUCUUUGUCACAGCUGCCCCGUCACAAAGUGCGUCGUGCACAGUAUCUGUUCUCCUGCUGGGUCUGAAGCCGCUGAGACUGUCGCUGGUCCAACUGGGGACCCUAAGGCCUACAGGGGGCCCUGCACAGUCGGGACAACGGCCAGCAUGGAUUGUGCCUUUGCGCUGAGUGGAUCGGGAGGACACUCCGGAUGAAUCUCAUCUAAUGCCACAGGCCCUUUGGGGAGAGACGUGUUUGCUGUCCCCGCUUGGUGGCAGUGGUAACUGGUCGGACCUCAAGGUUAUGUCAAACUUUCUUAUAAAUGGGGACUUUAAUCCUUGUUUGCAGACCAGAGUUUUACAGACAUGACUUCGUCCAACAGCUGUGACUUCUCGCACAGCCUGGUCUCCUGUCCCGCUGGUGUCUGGCAAGAGGGGACCCUGGGCUCCCUUUCUUCCCACCAUGGUCAAAAGAGUGACUGUCAAUCCAGGGGGCACAAGAAUCACCGCAGGUGCUGGUUAGGGGCGAUGUCUAAGCUCCAGCCCUAGACGUUCCGAUGCUGUCCGUCUGGGUGGGUCCCAGGAAGCCUCCAUUUUUAACCAUCACCUUAGGAGACUUCAGUGAGUGUAGGAAUGAAAAAUAAGUUGGCUUUUCUAUUUGUCUCCUGAAAAUUCCUCUUCACCUUUGGGGUAGUAGAUGAGUAACAGAGAACGGGAAUAUACUCCUGGGUGCUUUGUGUAAGUAAAAUCAUUUAAUCUUCCCAGUAAUCCAGAGAGGUGGGUGUCAUUAUUGCCCCCAUUCUACAGGUGAGGCAACUGAGGCUCAGAGGGACAAUGCCAACGGGUUGAGAGUGGCAAGUCUUGAUUUAUAGACACUCUGGCUGCACAGCCCGUCAUCUUCCUCUGGGAAGGAGAGAACGAGAAGGAGUUGAAGCGAAGGACGCACCCUGAGGUUUGAUUAUGCCACAGUGACUCCCUGGCUACCUGCAGAGACGGACUUUUGCAGAGGGCUCAGUGCCAGCAGUGGUAGCACCAAUAAUAAUAACAGCCAGUGUUCACCGGGCACCCAGCCUGUGCACCGCCAAGGCUCCAGACCCCAUCUCCUUCAGUCUGCACGGCAGCCCUGCAAGGCUCCCGGGCCCCACCACAGCCUCAGAAAAUCAGAAUCUUCAUGUGAACCUGAUCCCAGGGGAUGGAUCCUUACGGCGUGAUGACAUCCCUCUCUGGGGCUGUUGCUGGCAGAGGUGCAAGGAUGUCUCGGAAAGCGCCUGGUGCCUCGCAGGGAUGUGACCGGUGGUUAUAGGAUGAGUUGAUGGAUUGCUGGCGGCUGUGCCUUGCCCUGGGCUAAGGGCUUCAGAUGCAUGGGCCAAUACGACUGACUCCUCUAUAAGCUGCCGUGACGAUGGAGAAUGAGAUAAGGUGCGUUUAGGACCACCCUGUCCUUUGGGCUCCCACAUCCUGUGCUCUUUUCAAGAGACCCCCAACAGGGAGAGAAGCAGAGACCCUGUCCUGUCCACCCUCGGGGGUGAGGGGGCCCAGAGGGGCAGGGUGCCUGGCUGGGUAUGGCUCCCAGCUCACUGCCAAGCCGGCGGGGGGGCCGUGGGAGGGAGUGCGGGUGGCCUUGCUGGGUGAGGACCGCAGCAGCCCUGAGUCUGGUCUGACUCCUGUCUCUCCCAGAGCCGGGAGAGCCGGGGCUGGCUCCGGAGAGGCCGGGCAGGUUUGUGUUCCACAGCCCUGAGCCUCUAAACGGAGCUAACGCAGCGCAGCGAGGCCUCGCAGGCCCAUUAGAGCUGCACCGGCCGAUUGCAAAUCAAUGCUCUGAAAAGACACAGCGACCCAGGUGCAAGAGGCGGAGACAGCCGGCCCAGCCGGAGCUGGAGAGAGCCGCAGGAGCCAGGGCAGGCUGCCAGGAAAGGUGGCCAGGGGAGCCUGGGCCCGGAGCUGGAGGGCAGCACCCAGCAUCACGUGGCCUCUGUUGGGGGUCAGAUCCCUUAGGGGCCUGGGCCUGGGGACAGAAAAGCAAAAGGAGAA